CCUACGGGAGGCAGCAGUGGGGAAUAUUGGACAAUGGGCGAAAGCCUGAUCCAGCAAUACCGCGUGUGUGAAGAAGGCCUGAGGGUUGUAAAGCACUUUCAAUAGAGACGAAAAGCUUAAGGUUAAUAACCUUGAGUCUUGACUUAACCUAUAGAAGAAGCACCGGCUAACUCCGUGCCAGCAGCCGCGGUAAU
rnacentral:rRNA from 1 species